rnacentral:lncRNA from 1 species
UUUUGAAUAAGAAUACAAUCUUUCUCCCAUUUCUCUCUUUCUACUCUCUCUUCUUCUUAAAUUGUUCUUGUUCUUGAUUCUCAUCAUUAGUGGUUCACAGUAUUAUUUGGACCUAAACAUCUGAGAUUCCGAAGGAGUUGUGAGAGGUUCCUUUAGAAACCCUUGGAAGUUUAUAUCUCAAGAUUCUCUUCUCCAGCCUAUUUCACUCUAUGCUGUAGUGAAAAUCCCUCGAUAAAUCUUGAUUUCGGGUUCAAAAAACAAUCAAACGAACACCGAUUUACCUAGCUUGACCCAAGAACUCUCCUUCACUUUGGACUGCCCAAACUCUCUCAAAUUUCACAAAGGAGAGGGGAUGGUGGUGGUGAUAGGGAGAAGAAGCAACAAUGGUGGACUCACUCCAACCACCAAGUCGGUUGCCUCCUCACCUCUCUCGGCCCUCUUUCCCUCUCUCAACACACACCCACACACCACCAUAGAAAAUGGCUGCAAGAAGAUGGGUAUAUAUAUAGGAUAGGUUAAAUACACAACUUGGGCCAAAGACUUAUGCAAAUGGACUUCUACUUAACCUAAACAAAUGGGCUACCAAUUAAUCUAAAACCCACAAUCUAAUAACCCAACUACUACAUGGACUAUCCACAAGUUUAGGUUAUUUCCGAGUUGAGCCAAGUCCAUGGUGUCGAUAAAUAAUCCGACAACUGUUUUAAAUUAUCGUCCAGAUUAUUGAAUAUCAAAACCCAACACAUGCAUUGUGUGAAAGGGGAUAGGAUUCAUUUCCAGGAGGAAGGUUAUGUUGCAUGAUGACUUCUUCAUUUCAGAGACUGUAGACUUGAUAAUUGACUUCUGAAAAUGGUGUAACGAAUUGGAAUUUUUAGUUUCUAAGAAAUUUGAGGGAUAGGGAGAGUUUAUAAUUGCCAAUUGAAUCUUCUUGAGAACAUCUACCUAACUUCUUCUUAAAUUGACAAAAGGUUGGUGAAGUUAUAGCCCUCGAUAUCCUCUUGCAGAUUAUUCUUCAGUGUUCUAGUCAGUUUGCUUAGCUAUCCCAUAUUUACCCUGGUUUAAGCUAAUCUGAUGAUUUUGCAUUCUUCACAGAAUAGUAGCGUUUCAAUGGCUACUAUUACGUGUGAAAAGGUUCAAAAGAAAUAUCCUUAUUUCUUUCCUUUUACUUUGCGGUUUGUGAUGCAUCGGAAUGGUUCAGAAAGUAUGGAUAAUUUAUUUUACAAUUGACGCAGUGAAAAGACUGUUAUAGACUCCUUGAAGGACAGAUCCCAGUUUUUAUCAUCCUUGUGGUUUCUGAGGAUGAGGUGUUUAAGGGCAUUCGUUUCCCGUUAAUUAUCCUUAGUUGGGAAAAGGCAUUAUAUUCUUUAGUCUUUAGACGAGACUCUGAUUUGUUUGGUGAUUAGCCUAUAAACAGUCGUAGUUUGCUUGUGAACAAAAUUAUAAAAAGGAGAAAGCUAUGUUGCUUGAACUCUCCAAAUAUGGAGGGGUAUCCGUGUCGACACGACAUGACAUGGAUACCGACAUGGGAUACAGAUUGGAUCCUUGGUUUUGAAAUCGGACACGGCAGCAAAAUGAAGAAGACAGCGGAACGUGGAGUCUUGCUUCUAGCCACACCGAAUUUCGUCUAUGGAGCUGUAGUUUUCUGGCCUUGCAUCUAUCUAUAGAUGUUUCUGGAAUUCUGUUUCGAGCUUGGGAGAAAGAUGAUAACAGAGUUGGGGAAGAAGACUAAGGAAGAAGACGAAAGGUUGCCCUCAUUGAUUGAAGUGCGCUUGGACCGGAUUUUGGAAUGUUUUAUAAGGGAUUUUGUAAACUCCAAUGCAUAUAAUGAAUGAAAUUACAAUUAUUUUAUUGGAUAAGUUGUAUGGUCCCUCAUUUAAUUUGAGUUUAUUCUUGUAUUUAUUUUUUAUUUCUUAUAUUUA